AUGUCACUGCUCAUCUCCACGAACCACCUUCCACCGAAAACCGCGCUGCAGGUCAGCCCUGUCCUCGGCACACUGGCCGUGACCUGGCUGGGUCGGCUGAAGAACCGGAUGGAAGAGGCAGAAAGAAGCCCCCAGAGGAGCGCCGCCCUGCACCACCCAGCCUUCCUUGCUGAUGGUCACCUGGCAUCUCAUGCCCAGCCCUGUGCCUCUUCACUUCUUCCUGCUUUGGGUUGGAAGACGCCAUCUGGAAUCCUCCGUGGAAGGAGAGACCUGGACGCACGACUUAGCACCCUCCAGCUUUCAAAUCGUAAGUUGCUGGAGUAUGGGGAACACAUCUGUGGGCUCGUCACUGAGGGUGGGGGGCUGCCACCCAGGACACACUGCCGGGCGAGCCCUGUGGGAGGGAACGGCCAGCACUGGCCAGCGGUCUGCUCACGGGGAGGUGGGUGCCCAGCGAGCUAAACUGAUUGCGGACCUGGGGGGCUUGUGUUCUAAGACAGGACCCCCAGCCUCCUUGUGUUGUCUCUGUGGCAAAAGAAUUCUAUAGGCGGCUUCGAGUGCCGGACCCCCCAAAGAAUUCCUUCUCUCUCGCUCCUCUAAAUGAAUGGCCCUUUCAUUAUUGAGUGUCCCUUUGGCUCUUGUGCCCCAGGGCAGACUAGGAUGGAAGUGCCCUUGUGAGCUGGGGGGCCCUUCAAAGGGCCAAGGAAAAAACGCGGGCCGAGGGACCAGCCUCUCAAACGGGCUUCGAGCUCCAAUGACCUUCGCUCACCCCCUUGAAAUGUCUGGAAAACAGAAUGGGCAGAUUUUCUGUCUUCAA
rnacentral:lncRNA from 1 species